rnacentral:rRNA from 1 species
CCUACGGGAGGCAGCAGUGGGGAAUUUUGGACAAUGGGCGAAAGCCUGAUCCAGCAAUGCCGCGUGCAGGAAGAAGGCCUUCGGGUUGUAAACUGCUUUUGUACGGAACGAAACGGUCUGCUUUAAUACAGUGGGCUAAUGACGGUACCGUAAGAAUAAGCACCGGCUAACUACGUGCCAGCAGCCGCGGUAAUACGUAGGGUGCGAGCGUUAAUCGGAAUUACUGGGCGUAAAGCGUGCGCAGGCGGUUAUAUAAGACAGUUGUGAAAUCCCCGGGCUCAACCUGGGAAUUGCAUCUGUGACUGUAUAGCUAGAGUACGGUAGAGGGGGAUGGAAUUCCGCGUGUAGCAGUGAAAUGCGUAGAUAUGCGGAGGAACACCGAUGGCGAAGGCAAUCCCCUGGACCUGUACUGACGCUCAUGCACGAAAGCGUGGGGAGCAAACAGGAUUAGAUACCCUGGUAGUCCACGCCCUAAACGAUGUCAACUGGUUGUUGGGUGCAUUAGUACUCAGUAACGAAGCUAACGCGUGAAGUUGACCGCCUGGGGAGUACGGCCGCAAGGUUGAAACUCGAAAGGAUUGACGG